rnacentral:lncRNA from 1 species
UCUAUCGAAUAGGAAGAUUGACUUUUGACCCCUAGAUCUCUUUUCUUUGACUCAAACCUAACUAUGUGAAACUUCUAAAUAUAAAAAAUUAAUGCUAAAUGAGCGAUAGCAAGCUCAGUUGCUUGACUUACUAUGAUGGCUAUGACAAUGAGUUAAGCUGAAUGAGUGACAAGUAACUGAAAUAUUGAUCUUUACAUAUGAACACCCUCA